UGGGGAAUAUUGGACAAUGGGGGCAACCCUGAUCCAGCCAUGCCGCGUGAGUGAUGAAGGCCCUAGGGUUGUAAAGCUCUUUCAACGGUGAAGAUAAUGACGGUAACCGUAGAAGAAGCCCCGGCUAACUUCGUGCCAGCAGCCGCGGUAAUACGAAGGGGGCUAGCGUUGUUCGGAAUUACUGGGCGUAAAGGGCGCGUAGGCGGGGUAUCCAGUUAGGGGUGAAAGCCCGGGGCUCAACCUCGGAACUGCAUUUAAAACUGAUACUCUAGAGUCCGGAAGAGGGUCGCGGACUUCCCAGUGUAGAGGUGAAAUUCGUAGAUAUUGGGAAGAACACCGGUGGCGAAGGCGGCGACCUGGUCCGGUACUGACGCUGAGGCGCGAAAGCGUGGGGAGCAAACAGGAUUAGAUACCCCGGUAGUCC
rnacentral:rRNA from 1 species